rnacentral:rRNA from 1 species
GAGUUUGAUCCUGGCUCAGAUUGAACGCUGGCGGCAUGCCUUACACAUGCAAGUCGAACGGCAGCAUGAUCUAGCUUGCUAGAUUGAUGGCGAGUAGCGAACGGGUGAGUAAUACAUCGGAACGUGCCCUGUAGUGGGGGAUAACUAGUCGAAAGAUUAGCUAAUACCGCAUACGACCUGAGGGUGAAAGUGGGGGACCGCAAGGCCUCAUGCUAUAGGAGCGGCCGAUGUCUGAUUAGCUAGUUGGUGGGGUAAAGGCCCACCAAGGCGACGAUCAGUAGCUGGUCUGAGAGGACGAUCAGCCACACUGGGACUGAGACACGGCCCAGACUCCUACGGGAGGCAGCAGUGGGGAAUUUUGGACAAUGGGCGAAAGCCUGAUCCAGCAAUGCCGCGUGUGUGAAGAAGGCCUCGGUGUAAG